AAACCACAUCAUGUCAGGAUGGCACUCAAGCAGUCAUGAUUAUAGGUACACAUGGAGAGUAGCUGAGACCUUCCACUUGUAGCCAAGACCUAUAUGUCAACAAUGCAUGCAACCAGGGAAACAAGAGAAGAACACUGUCAGUAUCCCAUAUCCAUGACAUCACA